rnacentral:tRNA from 1 species
GGACCCGUGCCCGAGACCAAAAGGACUACUUUGAUAGAGUAUGAACAGGGGUUUAAAUCCCCUCGGCUCC